rnacentral:tRNA from 1 species
UUAAUCAAAGCCAAAAUUAGAGGCAUUUUAUUGUUAAUAAAAUAAAUGAUUUACAUAAUCUGAUUAAA